GUUCUGUUGUAGGUGGAGGGGAGAUGGGUUCUGUUGUAGGUGGAGGGGAGAUGGGUUCUGUUGUGUUGUAGGUGGAGGGGAGAUGGGUUCUGUUGUGUUGUAGGUGGAGGGGAGAUGGGUUCUGUUGUAGGUGGAGGGGAGAUGGGUUCUGUUGUAGGUGGAGGGGAGAUGGGUUCGGUGACAUGUGACGUCAGGACUGGUAGAUGAGGGCGGCAGAGCCAUCUAUACUCCAGAAAACGAAGCAUUUCAGAAAGUUAAUUGUCAUUCAGGAGACUGAUCAAAAGAGUUUAUUUUGCUUACAUUCUUUGGGAAGAUACAAAAAAAACUUGUUUUUUCUUUUUAAAGUUUGUAGAGAGAAUUGGUGAAGUAUACCAAUGAUGAUUAUGAUAAUGACUGCAUUUAAGAUUGUAAAAUGAACACUGUUUUCUUUGUUG
ensembl:lncRNA